UACGGAGGGUGCAAACGUUGCUCGGAAUCAUUGGGCGUAAGCGCACGUAGGCGGCCUGUUAAGUCGGGUGUGAAAGCCCUGGGGCUCAACCCCAGGAAGUGCACUCGAAACUGGCGGGCUUGAAAUAUGGAAGAGGGUCGCGGAAUUCCCGGUGUAGAGGUGAAAUUCGUGAGAUAUCGGGAGGAACACCAGUGGCGAAGGGCGGCCGACCCUGGGGCCAAUAUUGACGCUGAGGUGACGAAAGGCGUGGGGAGCAAACAGG
rnacentral:rRNA from 1 species